CGGAGAACUGGCACCACGAGAUGGACUGUGAGUGGUGGUGAUCGCUAUGACGUCAGCUCAAAGUGCUCUGGGGACCGCAGAAGGUGCUCAGGACACAGCAACGGAGAGGUAGACUGGAUUGGAGAGCCGGCUGUGGUUCCACAGCCCAGCAUUCCUAGGGAGCCAGACUUGGCCCAGGCCCAGCUCCAGCCCUUGGUGGGUGCUGACCCGGAGCGCCUCGUGGGGCUGCAGACACCUCUGGCUUGUCUAUCCCCGCACCAUCCUCUGUCUGUCCACACAUGGUCAGAGCUUCUUCCAGCAUGGCAGGCUCAUACUGUGCACAAGGCUUGGCUCAGCUUCAAGGAGAGAGGACAAUGUAGACAUCACCUCUCGAUGGAAAGAGUACCGAAGAACUUGCGGUGACAUCGCAGAUCAGUGUAACAGUAUGUGCCCCGAACACAGGGCAGAGAAACCGAUUCAUGGUUACAGAGCCUGCUUCAUGACGUCUGGCCCAUGGCAAGAAUUUGAUAAACGGCCCCUCUUCAGUUGCACCAGGCAUGCAGCUUCCUUGGGAGGGUUAGCCCAGUCUCCGCGCCCCUCUGAAGCACCCUGUCACCCAGCCCUGCAUGUGAGCGUCUCACCCUAACAGGGCUCGAGCACCGGAGAGCAUUCUGGCCCUCAGGUGGAGGAUCCCGAAGGUCGGUGAGCAAGCGAUGACUCGGCCCCAGGCAUGGCCCUGUUCACAUUCAUCCAGAGCUGGAAAAGUCCACCUGGCUGCUGGGUUCCCUGCAAGGCCCCUCAGAGUGUGAGGUCACAGUGGCGGGAGAGCCCAGCAGAGCCAGAGGUGGAGGCAGCAACCCAAGCCCCGUGCCCGGCGUCACACUGUCCUCAGAAGCGGUUUCCAGGCUGGCACCUUCCAGGCCUCCUGGCCCCGAGGCAGGUCCUCAUCCUGUGUCCCUCCCGGGCCAAAGUUUGGGGACUUGGCCAUGCCUUCCGGGGGCGUCUGCCCUCUGGCUACUCAGGAGCCGGAGAGGAUGGUGAGAAGCCCAGUUCACUGAUGGCCCUGGGAGUGGACAGCACCCACGUGGGCACCAGUCCAGACCUCCUAGACUGUCUGCAGUUGGCACUGCCCACCCCUGCCCUCACGCCUGGGACAGCCUGUGGAUGGUCCCUUCUGUUACUCAGCUGUGCUGCCAACAAUGGAAGGGCCAGCAGGCUGGACUCCUUGGUGCCGCCUCCCAGCCCGGCCCGCUCAGGUUUUCCUCUCCGACUUGGACCGAUUCACUCGCCUCCACUCUCUCCACCCUUCAGAAUCCCUCUCUGGACCAUGCGUGCAGCCAGCUCCCUCCGCCGCACUGCCCCUUCUUCAAGCCCUUCAGCAGCUGUGUCGCUCUGCGCAGUGGCCCCUGGCUGGACCCACGGGCAGGACGCCACGGAGGGACCUAGCCAGCCUGGGUCCCCACAGCCCUGGGAACUGCAGCCCCAGCCCCAAGCUCCCUAUCUUUAGCGUUCUCUGUUUUGCAAGAGAGAUGACUUCUGUCUCGUUUAAGCCAUAAUCAUUCUGAAUUUCUCUGCUAUCCACAGAAUGAAUGCUAAGUGAUGGGCUUUCUCUGCCCUACGAGGCUGCAGGCAACUGUGAAGAGACCUUGAGGCCAGAGGAGCCCACCUGAGCCUCCACCUGUGGCAAGCAGCCAGUGCCUGGCCUGGGCGAGGAGCGUGGGGUGGGCCGGGCAGGAAAAGCACGAGAGCUUGAGGGUGAAGAUUCAUGUUCGGUUUAGUCCUGUUUGUUGCAGGCUCACCAACUUACCAACAGUCCUAGACCGCUAGACUUCCUUGCUCUUCUCCUGUUAACAGCGUCCUCGAGCUGUAAUUCACAUACACGCGGCUCAGUCCUUCAGUGUUCAGUUCAGUGGUUUGCAGCAGAUACGCUGUGCAGCCUGCACAGUGGUCAGUGCUAGGUCAGCCGUAACUCCUCAGAAAGAAACCCCACUCCCUGGAGCAGCCGUCCUAUCCUUCCACCCCUGCCCCACCCCUAAGCAACCUCUAAUCUCCUCCCCUCUUUAUGG
ensembl:lncRNA